rnacentral:lncRNA from 1 species
AUUCUAAUUAACAUGCUCCAGAUGUUUGGAAGCAUAUACAGCCAUUUGGGAGAACAGAAGCAUAGUGGCUGUGUCCUACAUGACUAACAACAGAGCCAGGCCUCAUGCAGUAUUGCUAAAUUUGAAGACUGGAUUUCUUUUCCCCUCUGCUCUGAGAAAAAGGAAAGCAGGCCCAAGAGACAUUCAAAGAUUCAAGAAACAUCGUUCACAAAUAAGCAGAUGCCAAUAUUCGAAAUGCUUAUGUAUCAUGAACUCUAACCCAACCUUAGUUACCAUCUUUUCAGCUCCCAAAGCCCAUAAAGACCACCAUUGUGGUUUGUCUGGAUGAUGAAACAAAAUUUCUAUUGAAGAUUUAGCCAAGUAUGUCUGCUAAAAUAAGCUAUAUUUUGAUAUGCAUAUGGUAUGGUUAUGCAUGCAAACUUUGAGUUUUAUUGAGGUUCUGUAUGUGAGCUUGUGGAAUAAUUGCUGGAGAUGACUCAAUGAGGCUAAACAUUUGUCCAUGUCUUAAGAGAAGGUUCAGUGUUGCGGAAACUUCCAGGGUGAGAUGCGGCGGUUAUGCAAGUAAAUCUGUUCCAUGAUAGUCCCCUUAGCAAUACAGCCUGAAGCCUUAGGUACUGAUAACACCAGGGAAGCUCAGUGUGCUGAUUCUAAGAGAUAUAGCAUGGAGGGUGGAGUGGAGUGAAGACACCAUGGCCAGGCUCUGUGCUAUCACUGCAGGGAUGGGGAACCGGAUGGUAUUGCAGAACUGUUAGACCGCAUGGCCAGCCCUGACUUUAACUGUUAACCAAAUCAUGUCCUUUGGGUGAACUUUGCUCAUUAUAACCCCAUUAUAAUGCCAAAACACACCCCCAUCCCAAAGGCUACCCACCUCCAAGGUGCAACCACCCGUCACUGAGCAUGCACUCUGAGUUUCUCUGAGCCUAUACCUUUAAACAAAGGUGAGAAAAACUUACACAAAUCGCAAUGAAGACUAGACAGUGAAGGCUAGAGUCACUCAAGUUCCACCUAAAAGUAAGGAAAUAGUAUAAAAUGGCCCAAGAGAAGGAAAACAUGAGGGAAGACACCAUUGCAGACAUGUUGGAAGGGCAUUGCUGACUUCUGGGAUCAGUCAACAGGCUGAACCUCUCUUCCCCACCCCACCCCCCAACCCUCCCCCCCAUGGGGAUGCCUAUUAGGUGAGAUUCGAACUCUGGGUUAUACUGAGAGCUUCACCGGGGAACCUAACAUUCUCUAUAGAGCUGUUUCAUAAAUUAACAUGUAUGUAUUGGUUGUGUUUGUUGUAUUCAUGGUAUUUGCAUGUGCUUUGCAGACAGAGUGUUUAUUACAGACAAUCCAAAAGAACUUGUACUCCUGUUGCUUCAAUAAACUACAGCAGUCAUUUACUAGACUGAAAGUG